GACGAACGCUGGCGGCGUGCUUAACACAUGCCAGUCGAACGGAAAGGCCCUGCCUUUGUGGGGUGCUCGAGUGGCGAACGGGUGAGUAACACGUGAGUAACCUGCCCUUGACUUUGGGAUAACUUCAGGAAACUGGGGCUAAUACCGGAUAGGAGCUCCUGCUGCAUGGUGGGGGUUGGAAAGUUUCGGCGGUUGGGGAUGUAAUCGCGGCUUAUCAGCUUGUUGGUGGGGUAGUGGAUUACCAAGGCUUUGACGGGUAGCCGGCCUGAGAGGGUGACCGGCCACAUUGGGACUGAGAUACGGCCCAGACUCGUACGGGAGGCAGCAGUGGGGAAUAUGGCACAAUGGGCGGAAGCCUGAUGCAGCAACGCCGCGUGCGGGAUGACGGCCUUCGGGUUGUAAACCGCUUUCGCCUGUGACGAAGCGUGAGUGACGGUAAUGGGUAAAGAAGCACCGGCUAACUACGUG
rnacentral:rRNA from 1 species